rnacentral:rRNA from 1 species
GGGGAAUAUUGCGCAAUGGGGGGAACCCUGACGCAGCAACGCCGCGUGAAGGAAGAAGGUCUUCGGAUUGUAAACUUCUUUGAUGAGGGACGAAUAAAGUGACGGUACCUCAAAAACAAGCCACGGCUAACUACGUGCCAGCAGCCGCGGUAAUACGUAGGUGGCGAGCGUUGUCCGGAAUUACUGGGUGUAAAGGGCGUGUAGGCGGGGAUGCAAGUCAGAUGUGAAAUACCGAGGCUUAACCUCGGGGCUGCAUCUGAAACUGUGUUUCUUGAGUGUCGGAGAGGAAAGCGGAAUUCCCAGUGUAGCGGUGAAAUGCGUAGAGAUUGGGAGGAACACCAGUGGCGAAGGCGGCUUUCUGGACGACAACUGACGCUGAGGCGCGAAAGCGUGGGGAGCAAAC